GACAGAGGGGGCAAGCGUUGCUCGGAAUUACUGGGCGUAAAGGGCGCGUAGGCGGCCUUCUAAGUCGGACGUGAAAUCCCUCGGCUUAACCGAGGAACUGCGUCCGAUACUGAAAGGCUUGAAUCCGGGAGAGGGAUGUGGAAUUCCAGGUGUAGCGGUGAAAUGCGUAGAUAUCUGGAGGAACACCGGUGGCGAAGGCGGCAUCCUGGACCGGCAUUGACGCUGAGGCGCGAAAGCUAGGGGAGCAAACGGG
rnacentral:rRNA from 1 species